rnacentral:rRNA from 1 species
CAAACGUUAUCCGGAUUUACUGGGCGUAAAGCGCGUGUAGGUGGUUCUGUAAGUAGGGCGUGAAAGCUCCCGGCUCAACUGGGAGAGGCCGUUCUAAACUGCAGAGCUAGAGGAUGGUAGAGGGAGGUGGAAUUCCGGGUGUGGCGGUGGAAUGCGCAGAUAUCCGGAGGAACACCAGUGGCGAAGGCGACCUCCUGGGCCACUCCUGACACUCAGACGCGAAAGCUAGGGUAGCAAACGGGAUUAGAGACCCCGGUAGUCCUAGCCCUAAACGAUGUUUACUUGACGUCGGCGGCUUAAUCGCCAUCGGUGUCGUAGCUAACGCGAUAAGUAAACCGCCUGGGGACUACGGCCGCAAGGUUAAAACUCAAAGGAAUUGACGGGUCCCCGCACAAGCAGCGGAGCGUGUGGUUUAAUUCGUUGCUACACGAAGAACCUUACCUGGGUUUGACAUAGCAGUGGUAGGGAAACGAAAGUGGACCGACCCUUCGGGGAGCUGUACAGGUGUUGCAUGGCUGUCGUCAGCUCGUGUCGUGAGAUGUUCGGUUAAGUCCGCUAACGAGCGCAACCCGCGUGAUGUGUUACAAGUGUCACAUCAUACUGCCGGUAUUAAGUCCGGAAGGAAGGUGCGGAUGACGUCAAGUCAGCAUGACCUUUAUAUUCAGGGCUACACACACGCUACAAUGGUCUGUCAAUAGGUUGCAAGCC